rnacentral:rRNA from 1 species
UACGUAGGGGGCAAGCGUUAUCCGGAUUUACUGGGUGUAAAGGGGGCGCAGACGGCGAUGCAAGCCAGGAGUGAAAGCCCGGGGCCCAACCCCGGGACUGCUCUCGGAACUGCGUGGCUGGAGUGCAGGAGGGGCAGGCGGAAUUCCUGGUGUAGCGGUGAAAUGCGUAGAUAUCAAGAGGAACACCGGUGGCGAAGGCGGCCUGCUGGACUGCAACUGACGUUGAGGCCCGAAAGCGUGGGGAGCAAACAGG